rnacentral:rRNA from 1 species
GACGAACGCUGGCGGCGUGCUUAACACAUGCAAGUCGUACGAUGACCCGGCUCUUCGGAGCUGGUGAUUAGUGGCGAACGGGUGAGUAACACGUGGGUGACCUGCCCUGCACUCUGGGAUAAGCCCGGGAAACUGGGUCUAAUACUGGAUACGACCAGUGGCCGCAUGGUCUGCUGGUGGAAAGCCCUUCGGGGUGGUGUGGGAUGGGCCCGCGGCCUAUCAGCUUGUUGGUGGGGUGAUGGCCUACCAAGGCGACGACGGGUAGCCGGCCUGAGAGGGUGGCCGGCCACACUGGGACGGAGACACGGCCCAGAAGCCUACGGGAGGAAGCAGGGGGGAAGCUGGCACAAUGGGCGAAAGCCUGAUGCAGCGACGCCGCGUGAGGGAUGACGGCCGUCGGGUUGUAAACCUCUUUCGGCAGGGAACAAGCCUGGGGGUUUUAUUCUGGGUGAGGGUACCUGCGGAAGAAGCACCGGCUAACUACGUG